rnacentral:lncRNA from 1 species
AGAGGGCCCACGCCUAUUCCUCUCAGUAUUUCGUCUGAGUCCGCCGAAAGGGCUGCUCCAAUAAGUAAUUCUCCCACGUCCAGAUGCAGUUUUAGAACUAUACCUCAAUGCAGAGUGUAGCGCCGGAGUUGAGCCUCCACUGCAACCCUAGCUCGCCACUCACACCAUAACCGUAACCCCCGGAGCUCUCCGACUGGAAGCUGAAUUGAGACGCAAUGCAUUCUGGGUGGGAUGUAGUGGUCGGGGAUGCCGUACCUGGUUUGAUACGUUGGAGUCUGUCCAGGACCUCUCUGCAGAUUCAUUGUGUUCACAGCAUUUGGUUAAGUUGGAUGAGUUCAAAUCUGCCCUGCAUUUCUUCUUUUUGAGGCUCUGGCCCAAGGGGCAGGGUAUGGUUUCCAGGGCAUUUUCUUUUCAUGGUGGAUCGUCAAAGCACAUAACAGAUCAUGCACACAUCCUUAAAAUCUCUGCUCCUAAAUAUGUUAAUAUUAUGUUAACUAAAGAAAGUUACACUAAGCUUAACAUUAACUACACCCACAGAUAG